rnacentral:lncRNA from 1 species
UCAUCUCCACACAUGCAAAGGUCCCUUCGGGCUCUUUUUUUUUGUUUUCCCCUUUGAAAUUUCAAAUUCCAGUUUGUGGACAAAGUCCUGCCUAUCUGAGAAUAUAGAUCUCCGACCACUGACCAAACUCCACUCCAAGCAGUCCUGAGGGCUGCUCUUCCCCUUGCCCACGGAUACCUCUGCUCAGUCCCUGGGUCUGCCAGGAUCUCACCACAACUUUUGCACCUGAGCAAAGCGCUCGUACUCGUACAAAGUGGAUUUUGCGCGUUUCAACCUUAACGUCAGCAGCUCCCUUUCUGCAUGCGGAAUGGGAAGGACCAUCGGGAAGAACCAGGGAUCUCAGGAAACCACGUCUGGACCUGGAGAGAAUGUGUUUAGCAAGUGGAUGUGAUCCCUUUGGAAAUGAAGUAAUCUUGCAGCUUCCCAGGAAAAAGAUCCCUACUGAGCAGUCUGGCAGGAGCGAGCAAAGUGCCUGAAUAGUCUGUCUUGUCCCCUGCGCUCUCAAUUGCCAGUGCACAGCAAGUGCCAGGGGAGUAAAGUGGAAGCAGAACAGUCCUCAGGAGCUCCACAUCCACAGCAGCUUUGUAGCCCUGCAGCCCCCGGCCACCACAGCACUCUCCUGCGCAACACAACCCUCCCAUCCACUGCCGCAGAAAAAAAACCACCGCAGAAAGCAAGGUGCCAAGCAAUGAAUCGAAUGCUUGGAGGUCAUUGCAAUGUGGCCUGGUGCUGCCCGGCCGUGGCCCUGACCAUGCCAGGAGCAAGCGUCGCCUCGUCAGCCUUCACACCCAGAGGGACCAGCUCAGAGCCAAGCCAAUCUGAAACACCCAUUUUCCUGCACUUCCCUUCCUCCUCGGAUGACUUUUCUCCCACCGAGACCACCUCUCCUUUUACUGUGCCAAGGAGGAGACAGCUUCUUCCUGCCCUCCAAAGAUGCUGGAACACAAGUGCCACCUCAAAGCUUUGCAGGUGCCUGUGCUGGUGGGGCUGGGCAGCGCGGCGGGGCCGGGACGUGGGG